rnacentral:rRNA from 1 species
GACGAACGCUGGCGGCGUGCUUAACACAUGCAAGUGGAGCGACGAACCAGGGCUUGCCCUGGGGCAAAGCCGCGAACGGGUGAGUAACACGUGGGUAACCUGCCCCGAUGACCGGGACAACCCGAGGAAACUCGGGCGUAAUACCGGAUGAGCUCACGCCACAUCAGUGGCAUGAGGAAAGGAAGCUUCGGCCUCCGCAUUGGGAGUGGGCCCGCGGCCCAUUAGCUUGUUGGNGGGG